rnacentral:tRNA from 1 species
GCUCUUGUGGUGUAGUGGUAACACUAUGGACUUUGAAUCCAUUACCCCUGGUUCGAUCCCAGGCAAGAGCU